CUGAUUUAGGGUGAAUGAGUCGGUCAAUGACAAGCUACUCUCCAUCUUGGGGAGAAAGACCCAACUAUUUCCAACUUUCUGGAUCUCUCCGACUUCCCGUUUGAUAAUGGCGUUUCAAUUGAUGAAGUUAUCGUUGGAGAGAGAGGAGUUUGCAACUAGGUUGUUUAGCCUUUUCUGGAGUUUCCGAAUCUACCUUAGUGUGAGCAAUUUCCUUCCCGCGUCUGAAUGUGUAUGAGUUGAUGGACAAGGGGCUCUUUUGAAAUUAGUAGGCAUGGGCACUAGCGGCUGGUUUGGUAGAUCAUCACUAGGAGGAGGUUCGAGCCGUGCUUCCAACGAGUCUCCAAGCUCGAUGGUGCUGGGCUCACUAUGACUUGAAAAUGAGUUGUCGUUAGACCAAUGAAUUGAAGGCGUCCAAGCUUGCUUCAAUCAGUCUUCAUGUUCGGCCUAUGGAUUCCAUAAUUCCUCAAGCCUCACCUAGGUUUGUUGGCUCAUUUUCACAGUAUAGCUAGCUCUUGUGAGCAACCUUCUGAUUAGCCAGCUGAUCUUUACCUUCAUUAUCUGAACUGGGCUCACAUAGCACAUGAUCUCGACAUCAGAAUAUUUUGGUCCCUCUUGGCUUGCUCCACAACUCACUACCUAGAAAUUGCCUCCUCCAGAGUUACCAUAGACCAAUAUUAAUUGAGAAUUGGUAUCCCCGUUAUAGUUAAUGUAGCUUCAUUAUCCAUACGCAGGACAUUGAACUGGAAAUUUGAACUAGAGCAUUCAGAACUUGAGUAUCCUAUAAUUUUGAGCUCCAAGAAAAAUCAGGAAAAUCAAUCACACAGUCGGGAAAAAUCAUAAAUAAAAAUGUUGCAAAAGUUGUCACCAAUAAAGAGAAGUUUCCUCGAUUUUCUCCGGGACGGGAGUUAAUAUGAGCAUAUUAAGGCUCGCUCAAGUACUGACUCUUUCCUAGUCGUCUCAUCACCUAAGCUAAAGUUCAAAUUUCACCGCCCCUCUUUGACCUUGUCUUAACGUACUAGAAACAACAAUUCUAGUAUAUAUGGUCUGAUUUUCUUGUUUCUUUUAAAAAUGUUUACAGAUGUGAUACCGAAUUAUAGUGAAGCUGUGGUGGAGAUUUAAAACUUGUAAUAGCCUUUGGACAAAAUUUAUGAAAGCUAAGUAUUGUGCUUGUCGUG